AUUGAACGCUGGCGGCAUGCUUUACACAUGCAAGUCGAACGGUAACAGACCUUCGGGUGCUGACGAGUGGCGAACGGGUGAGUAAUGCAUCGGAACGUACCCAGAGGUGGGGGAUAACGCAGCGAAAGCUGUGCUAAUACCGCAUGUGAUCUGAGGAUGAAAGCGGGGGACCGAGCAGCAAUGUUUGGCCUCGCGCCUUUGGAGCGGCCGAUGUCGGAUUAGCUAGUUGGUGGGGUAAAGGCCUACCAAGGCGACGAUCCGUAGCUGGUCUGAGAGGACGACCAGCCACACUGGGACUGAGACACGGCCCAGACUCCUACGGGAGGCAGCAGUGGGGAAUUUUGGACAAUGGGCGCAAGCCUGAUCCAGCAAUGCCGCGUGCGGGAAGAAGGCCUUCGGGUUGUAAACCGCUUUUGGCAGGAACGAAACGGUGUCCGCUAAUACCGGGCGCUAAUGACGGUACCUGCAGAAUAAGCACCGGCUAACUACGUG
rnacentral:rRNA from 1 species